GGGAGGAGGUGGUAUCCCUGGCGGCGGUGAUGGUGGUGGUCAUAGCAGAGGUUCGUCUGCCGAGGGUCGUGUGACGCUGCGUGCUUGGUUUAGCAUCGCCAGUACGGUGGAAACCUGAGAUGGUUAGCGGCGAUUAGCCCUGGAUGCGUGCCAGUGAGUGCUGCCGUGACACGCUAGUCCAGGGUGCUUGUGGUGGCCCGCGCUGGCUACUGCUGGCCCGUGACUCACCUUGGCCACCCCAGCACUCUGGCCUAAUGCUUAGGCGGGCUGCACAUAACGAUCUCUAUUCGGCAGUGACUCAUGAUGCUUUGCAAGUGUUUCGCCUUGUAGUGAAUGCCAGCAAAGUGUGAAGUAAAUAACUUUUGCUGGUGGCCACGGAAUUGCGUUGGCCACACAGACACUGACUGGCCAUGGUAACUCGGGCUGGCCAGAACCGUCAGUGACAGGUGUGCAUGUUUCCAGCUCAUCACUACCUUAUGAUACUGUGUGGAGAUCUAAGGAGUGCAUGAGAUGGCUGAGGAUGGUGGAGGAGGGCCAUCUGGUGCCCUACCUGACAUGGUGGCUCAGGGUUAUUACCGUUAUGGCUUGCUGGUGGCCACACAUCCCAAGAAAGUCAUCUUCCUCGCCUUCACCUCCUUCCUCAUCCUGUGCACCCCUCUGUGGCACCUGCCUCUCCCUGGUUACCUGCCCCAGGAAUAUGUGACUUCACUUUUCAACUAUAGUGUGCCUCCUCCAGCCCCAGAGGGAGGCAUCCGGCUUGAUCCAUCCCCAACCCCGACCCCUCUUUGGUACCAGGGUCCUCCUCGUGCCUACAUACUUCAGAUUGUGGUGAAAAGUGGGGUGGUGCCAUGGCAGGAAGGCCUCACCAUCAGUGACAGCUAUCGGGGACCACUUUCCUCCGUGUUCCACUUGGCACAGACCAUCAGCAAUUAUCACCUCCAUCACAAUGAGAGUGUGACACUGGGUAGUGAGUGUCUGCUCAUUGAAGGUGUGGUCAAAAAGAUGCAGUCAGCUGGUCAGGUGCUCCCUCACUACAACUGCCUCAUGUUAUCUCCUGCUGAUCUGUGGUCCCGCAACCUACAUUCUUUCCUUCAGGAUCCCAGUGUCCUCCUCACAGUCAACUCUCUCAUGGCUAGCUAUGAAGGGCAGACCAAUGUAGCAGAUAUCCUGUUUGGGGUGCCCUCCCGAGAAAUUGGUUUCAGGAGAAGCAGGAAUCCUGAGCGCGUCAUCACCUAUGCUGCUACGCUGGCACUGAAGCAUUACAACGAGGAGUUUGUGCGUGGCCUGGAGCACGAGUUGACAUCAAGGUAUCCGCUUCACCAACCAGUCCAGCCGGGGCGGGAAGAGAUGACCCAUGUUUACUUUCCUUCCCGCCUCUCACUGUGGGAGUUCCUCCUCAUCAUCUUUUACUGUGUUCUAUUUGUGUCUAUCUACUUUUCCAUUCUGAAGAUGGAUAUGUUCAAGAGCAAGUUGGGGAUGGCCAUCAGUGUACAGGCCACCCUCAUUGCCUCUCUCUGUGUCUCAGUAGGCUGCUGUGCCUAUUUUGGGCUACGACCUCUGCACAGCAAAGGAAAAUUUGUAUAUCCAGUGCUGGCUGGUCUUAUAGGGUUUGAGAAUAGCAUGGCCUUGAUGCGUGCCGUUUUGCAGACCCCAGCUCAUCUCGAUACCAAGAUUAGGGUGGCCCAGGGUCUGGCACGGGAGGGAUGGACGAUCACCAAAUAUUUCCUCACCAUGAUAACUAUUGUCACUGUGUCCUUCUUUCUUUUCAUUCCCUUAGUACAAGAAUUUUGCAUCUAUGGUUCUGUAGUGCUGCUGUGUGACCUUUCCACUCAGCUAAUUUUCUUGACUGCAGUACUAUCCAUUGAUUUGCACCGCUAUCAGGAUUCGGAAGAUCAGCGCAGACCUCCUGUAGUAAACAGUGUGGUGCCCUCUGUCAAUCCACUGUUCCGUUACCAGCCACCUGGCCCUACUUCAGGUCUCAGGAUCCUACCUGGUACCCCUGGUCCAUGUGGAACUUCUGUGCCUAAUUUACAUCGUCGAACUGCCCCAUCAGGGACUUCUGUCGAUUGCAAUGGUCAAGAUCGUGUGGCUCGACCCCAGACUAAGCCCCGGGGACCUGAAACUAUGCCUAAGAGGUUAAGGGUGGCUUACUUUUUGGCUAAAAAGCGCAUGUUUCAACGAAUGUUCAUGUGUGUAUUUGUGGGGUGGAUUGCAUUUAUGGUGUAUAGCUCAGGCCUCAUUGAACACUUCUCUGAGCCAGCUGAGAACCUACGCCACCCAAGGGACCUUCCUUCUGUUAUCUUCUCACUCACCAACAGAAGUACCCAAUUGUACCAACAGUCCUUUCCACCCAGCACUAGCCAGACCCAGCCACCAUCCAGCCCUGCCUCACAGCCUUCAACACCUCCCUCAUCAACAUCAAAUGGUAGUGCGGCAGGCCAGGACAAUGGCCUCAAGCUCUUGAAGCACCGCACCCGCUCACUGCUGCGCCGCCUUCCACACUCUCACUGGCCAACCCUGUUUAGUUAUUACAACAUGAGCAUUACUGGUCACUACCUCAGUUUUUUACCUCCCAUCUUACUGUCUCUUCCUGUCACCCCAGAGGAAGCACAGGAAGUACACAAUCCCACUGAUCCUAACCGAAGUCCCUGGAUGCUGCAGCAUGAGAGCUCAGAGGAAGAUGAGGAUGAAGCUUCUUGGCAGGGAGAGUCAGCCUUUGUGCCGUCAUCCACCGGGGAGCUGCUGGUGACUGCUGUGUUAGUGAUUCCAGCACUUCUGGUUUUGGUGUAUGCCAUGGUUGCCUUCUAUCAUUGUGUCUGCUCCAGGAACUAUGCUGAAUGGCGGGCCUCCUGGUGGGGCCAGGAAGGCCACCGGGAUGAGUCAUCACAGAUCAUUGGUGAUGCCUUGCCACUGGUGCUAGCUGGCCACCCGUAUGAUGUGGAAUGCAUGUGUACAGACGGGCAGGUGUUGGUGUCAUCCUGUCUGGCAGGUGUCAUCCGGGUGUGGGAUCCCAGCACUGGGGAGUGUCUUGCCAGUAUCAACCGACACAGCCAACCUAAGCCUGGGCAACGUGAGGGUUCUCCAGAUGAGGGAGAGGAGGUUCAUUCUGAUUAUGAGUCUGGCUCGCCUCGUUCACAGCCAGGUGACUGCAGCUACAUGCAGAGAGCCAGUGUUGACAAUGAAAGGAGUAGUGUCAGCUUGUGCAGCUGUGGGCCACUGGGAGAGGAGGAGGAUAGUGAUCAAGAAGCUUCAGACAUGCAAGAAAUGACUAAAAGUCAGUCCAGUGGUCUCUUCCAUGCCUUCCCUGAUCUCACUCCAGCUAUUGACCUUCACUUCCAUCGAAGCAGUCCAGCAACUGAUUCCCCUGGCAGUAGUCCCUUCAGCCACUUUGAGAAGUUCUACCAAGAGCACCGCAAGGUGUUGCGUGAAGAGGAGGAACACAGGCAAAGGUGUGCUAGGAAGACUUCAGACUGUGGAGAGCAGCCAGGGCGUUGCCUUUUGCCCCACUCCACCUCUUCUACUGAGCAUUUAGGAACUGGCAGAGAUGGCAGAAACUUAAGUUCAGGCAGCAUCUCUGCACAAGCUCUCCUUGGACAAGUGUCUCUAGAGUGGGAGGAGGUGCCUCCAAUUUGGUGCCUGGAGUGCCAGAAUGCAUUGGUAUUGGUUGGUUGUGGCUCAGGCAGGGUGGAAGUCUGGGAUAUGUACAGCUGCUUGCUCAAGUGUGUAUAUGAAGAUAGGGCCAGGGCUGGUGGUGUCACCUCCAUGCGGAUGUCUGGGAACCGUGUGAUGGUAGCACGGCUGUCUGGUGUUGUAGACAUGCUGCAGCUUGAGGCCACAACUACUGUCACACCUUCAGGCACUCCCACUGCAGCUCCCACUGCAUCACCACUGCACCACCAACAUUUUGAUAAUGUUCCUCACCAGUUCCGGCAGUCGCUGCGGCCAGGCCACAGUCGUGGUGGCAGUGGUAGCGGCUGGACCUUUAGUUAUGAUGAGCCACUGCGGCUUGUGCGGUAUGCAGGCAUGCGAGCACACCAGCAACCCAUCACUGUUAUGACAUGUGACCGCACUCGUCUCAUCACUGGAGCCCAUGACCAUACUCUCAAGGUGUUUAGUAUGGUUGACGGCAGUGCGUUGUUCACCUUACAUGGCCAUUGUGGUCCCAUCACGUCUGUUUUUGUGGACGGGGGCAGCCUUGAGGCACUGGGCAGCGAGGUGGAGGUGGCUGUGGACCUUGGUGUGGGAGCCAUCAUUGGUAGUGGUUCCCAGGAUGGCAUGUUGUGUGUUUGGGAUGUUGUGACAGGGGCUUGUGUGUACAGUGUUCAGGCACAUCAUGGGGCCAUUACCACCCUAACCUGCACUACCAGUUACAUUCUUUCCUUAGGAGAGGAUGACAAACUGUGUGUGUGGGAACGCUUCCAAGGUCACCUUCUAAACACCCUCCAGAUGACACAGAUGUACUGCACCAGUAUGGUCAUGCUCACCAACAAGCUUCUCAUCACUAGCAGACAGGGUUCCUUAACAGUAUGGGACAUAACUUCGGGUACACCAGUGCGUGUUGUCCGUUUGGGUGACCGUGAUGAAAGUGUCUUCAUCCGCCACUUGAUGCCUGUGGCAGACACCAUCGUUUGUGACUAUGGGAACCAACUACGUGUUGUGAGGCUGCCGGUGGCUGAGAAGUAUGACUGAGGAAGCCAUUGUGUGAGCUAGGCAGCCAAGGACAUCAAGCUUUUAGUGAGCCUUUAGGUAGUGAGCAGGGAAGCCAACUAUGUCCUGCCCUGUUCUGUGAGCCAUAUGCUACUUGUUGGCAGCCCAUCAUCACUACUGGACUGACCAAACUCUGGGACAGAUGCACAUUUCAUCUCUACUCUACUAUAGAGACCUAUAUUUUGUAUUACUAUUUCUUGAGGCUCCAGAGUGUAUGAAACCUGUGUCCCUUUAAGAGAUGAAAAGAGAACAAUUUUAAACAGCAAUGCAAGAUUAUUCAGAAUGUUCACACUGAUGGCUGUGAAAGCUUCUGUACAAGUUGCCAAUAUUUUUUUGUAAGUGAAAAUGUUUGCUGUAAUGUGCUUCAUAUUGUUCAAUGUCAAAUGUUUCCUCUAUUUUGAAGUACGAUUUUGUGAGAGGAAGUCAUCUCAAGCUAGAGUUUGUAAAUAGUCAGGAAAUUAGAUUAGUAAAGGUUUUGUAUGAAA
rnacentral:misc_RNA from 1 species